CCUACGGGAGGCUGCAGUGAGGAAUAUUGGUCAAUGGACGAGAGUCUGAACCAGCCAAGUAGCGUGAAGGAUGACUGCCCUAUGGGUUGUAAACUUCUUUUAUAAAGGAAUAAAACGAGGCACGUGUUCCUUUUUGCAUGUACUUUAUGAAUAAGGCUCGGCUAACUCCGUGCCAGCAGCCGCGGUAAUACGGAGGAUCCGCGCGUUAUCCGGAUUUAUUGGGUUUAAAGGGAGCGUAGAUGGGUUGUUAAGUCAGUUGUGAAAGUUUGUGGCUCAACCGUAAAAUUGCAAUUGAUACUGGAAGUCUUGAGUGCAGUUGAGGUAGGCGGAAUUCGUGGUGUAGCGGUGAAAUGCGUAGAUAUCACGAAGAACCCCGAUUGCGAAGGCAGCUUACUAAACUGUGACUGACAUUGAUGCUCGAAAGUGUGGGUAUCAAACAGGAUUAGAUACCCGUGUAGUC
rnacentral:rRNA from 1 species